GCAAUGCCGCGUGUGUGAAGAAGGCCUUCGGGUUGUAAAGCACUUUUGUCCGGAAAGAAAUCCUUGGCUCUAAUACAGUCGGGGGAUGACGGUACCGGAAGAAUAAGCACCGGCUAACUACGUGCCAGCAGCCGCGGUAAUACGUAGGGUGCGAGCGUUAAUCGGAAUUACUGGGCGUAAAGCGUGCGCAGGCGGUUUGCUAAGACCGAUGUGAAAUCCCCGGGCUCAACCUGGGAACUGCAUUGGUGACUGGCAGGCUAGAGUAUGGCAGAGGGGGGUAGAAUUCCACGUGUAGCAGUGAAAUGCGUAGAGAUGUGGAGGAAUACCGAUGGCGAAGGCAGCCCCCUGGGCCAAUACUGACGCUCAUGCACGAAAGCGUGGGGAGCAAACAGGAUUAGAUACCCUGGUAGUCCACGCCCUAAACGAUGUCAACUAGUUGUUGGGGAUUCAUUUCCUUAGUAACGUAGCUAACGCGUGAAGUUGACCGCCUGGGGAGUACGGUCGCAAGAUUAAAACUCAAAGGAAUUGACGGGGACCCGCACAAGCGGUGGAUGAUGUGGAUUAAUUCGAUGCAACGCGAAAAACCUUACCUACCCUUGACAUGGUCGGAAUCCUGCUG
rnacentral:rRNA from 2 species